CACUAUAAACAAGAAGGAACGCCGGCACCGGAAGGAAGAAGAAAGAAGAGGAAAGAAAAAGAAGAAAGCUCUGCUCCACCAGCGGUUCACCAUGAACACCCUCUCAUCAUUCACAGCUCUCGACUCCAAUCCACUCUCCAAGCCUCGCUCUUUGGGGCCCCACCACCACGAGCCCAUUCACCUCCAGCGUCCCAGAAAUGUUGUGGUAUGCUCGGUGAAGCCCUCAGUUGCCCCUCCCUCAUCUCUGCGUGUGUCUGGGUCCCCCAACCAGGGGCUAAGUCGAAUUGAGUCUCUAACCCAGGUCUCAGGUGUGUUGGGCUGCCAGUGGGGAGAUGAAGGUAAAGGCAAACUUGUCAACAUCUUGGCCCAACACUUUGACAUCGUUGCUCGUUGUCAGGGUGGAGCUAAUGCUGGACACACCAUUUCCAAUGCAGAGGGAAAGAAGUUUGCACUUCACCUUGUUCCCUCAGGUAUCCUUAAUGAAGAGACUCUUUGUGUUAUUGGGGUUUUGAAUAAGACGACCUGGAGUUGUGGUGCAUCUACCAGGUCUCUUUAAGGAGAUUGAUGGCCUUGAAUCUAAUGGAGUCUCCUGCAAGGGAAGGAUAUUGGUCUCUGAUCGUGCUCACCUCUUAUUCGAUUUCCACCAAGUAGUGGAUGGGCUUCGAGAAUAUGAGCUUGCUAAAUCUUUCAUUGGCACUACCAAGAGAGGUUUUGGACCUUGUUACUCUAACAAGGUUAUCCGAAAUGGCAUUCGAGUCAGUGACUUGAGGCACAUGGAUACUUUCCCUCAGAAGCUAGAUAUUCUAUUAUCAGAUGCUGCAUCGAGAUUCCAAGGUUUUGACUAUGGUCCUCAUGUGCUCAAAGAAGAAGUUGAGAAGUACAAGCGAUUUGCUGAGAGAUUGGAACCCUUCAUUGCUGAUACUGUGUUUGUCGUGAAUGAAGCCAUCUCCGAGAAGAAAAAGAUUUUGGUCGAAGGGGGUCAGGCAACAAUAUUGGAUAUUGACUUUGGAACUUACCCCUUUGUAACAUCCUCUAGUCCUUCAGCCGGUGGAAUUUGCACUGGUCUUGGCAUUGCUCCCAGAGUUCUAGGCAAUCUGGUUGGAGUGGUGAAAGCAUGCACUACAAGAGUUGGUUCUGGUCCUUUUCCCACAGAAAUCUUGGAUAAAGGGGGUGAUCUCAUUAGGUUUGCUGGUCAGGAGUUUGGCACAACUACUGGUCGCCCUCGUCGUUGCGGUUGGCUUGAUAUAGCAGCACUGAAACUGCUGUCAGAUUAAUGGCUUUUCUUCUCUCAAUCUCACCAAACUUGACGUUUUGUCGGAUCUUCCUGAAAUUCAGUUGGGUGUUGCCUACAAACAAAUUGAUGGUACACCAAUCAAAUCAUUCCCUGCAGACCUUCGUGAUCUUGAGCAGUUAAAGGUGGAAUAUGAAGUAUUGCCUGGAUGGAAGUCUGAUAUAUCUUCUGUCAGAAACUAUUCUGACCUUCCAAAGGCUGCACGCCAGUAUGUGGAAAGGAUAGAAGAACUUGUUGGCAUACCCGUCCACUACAUUGGUGUGGGGCCUGGACGCGAUGCACUCAUUUACAAAUAAUCAUCACAAUAUUUAUUUCCUUUAGAUUCCAGAUGAUGUUCAAACUAUCAGAAGUAAUACAGAACUUCUGGUGCUGAAGGAAUUUAUUCCCUUUUAUGUCAGAAGCUUUUUUUUGGAAUAGAAUUAAUUGUUCAUGGUUAUGAACAUGAUGCAACGCAUUCUCCACCCUGUGAGGCCACAUGAAGUCUAUGUUGUGUUUAGUGGCUGGGAUAAUAUUUUUUUUCAGUAACCUUAGGUUAGGCAUGGUAGCAACUUUCCGCAGACUUGCUGUAGCUCGACUGAAGGAUCUGUCAAAGAUGUACUUGACACUCAAAUCGAGCUGUGGAAGUGAAUGAAAUGUGGCGACUCUUAAAAGAAAGAUGAAGAUGAGAGCAGAAAUGAGAGAGAGGCCACAGAGACAGUAACUGUCCGAGAAGCAGUAGCAAGGGGCAUGCUAUGUUGUCGCGGAUGACAACCGUCGCUAGUCCUACCUACUUGCUCAUCAAGAAAAAGAGAAUAUGAGAGCUGCCAUGCCAUUCAAGGGGAGAAGAAAAUGGUCUAAGAGAUGUAGUUGAAGAAUUUUUACACAUUUCUUGAUAUGGCAGGGUCAAGCGUUGGAUCAAGGAUGGAUGAAACAGAUCGUUAUCUUGUCCAUUGUCCAGAGAAGCUUUCACGCAAGUUAUGUGAUUUUCCCAAAAGGGGCUUGAUGAUGACAGCGAGAAUUUUUUUUAUUUUAAAAAAGUUGGUAGCUCCAAGAAGUAGCACUUGAAAAAGCACAAGUCCAAGGAUUAAAGGAAGAGAGAAGAAGUAAAUACCUUACUCCCCAUAUUAUUAUUUUCGAUCAAUUUGGCUCAAACUAUAUUAAAAUUGGCAAAAUAACACCUACCCUUUUGUGUUCAUUUCUA